GACGAACGCUGGCGGCGUGCUUAACACAUGCCAGUCGAACGGAAAGGCCCUGCUUUUGUGGGGUGCUCGAGUGGCGAACGGGUGAGUAACACGUGAGUAACCUGCCCUUGACUUUGGGAUAACUUCAGGAAACUGGGGCUAAUACCGGAUAGGAGCUCCUGCUGCAUGGUGGGGGUUGGAAAGUUUCGGCGGUUGGGGAUGGACUCGCGGCUUAUCAGCUUGUUGGUGGGGUAGUGGCUUACCAAGGCUUUGACGGGUAGCCGGCCUGAGAGGGUGACCGGCCAAAUUGGGACGGGGACACGGCCCAGCCUCCUACGGGGGGGAGCAGGGGGGAAUUUUGCAAAAUGGGGGGAAGCCGGAGGCAGCAACGCCGGGGGGGGGAUGACGGCCUUGGGGUUGUAAACCGCUUUCGCCUGGGACGAAGCGUGAGUGACGGUAAUGGGGAAAGAAGCACCGGCCAACUACGU
rnacentral:rRNA from 1 species